CUCACAUGAAUGUACUAAAUGUAUCCCCAAUGAAAAAAAUAAAGCAAUAUUUAUUGAUAAAAUGCUGUGUGCCAAAUACUCUUUUAAAGGUUUUAUCUUUUAUUAGCAUUUCAUCCUCACAAAAAUACUAUUAGGUGGUACUGUUAUUACCAUUUUAAAAACCAAGGCACAGGGGCAUGUUUUGCCAAACACCACAUAGGCAGAGGUGGAAUUAUGAGAAUUAUAUUAUUUAUAUAUAUCAUAAAGAUAGGCCAAGGCUGGUCUUUCCCAUGUUCAUUACAUUAACAGAAUCAUUUUCCGUUACAGUGCUAUAUAAAGUGUGGUCCAUGUGUUGACACUGGCCCACAAAUUGUUUGCUUCUGGUCUCUGCAAAAGUUAUAGAUACCAAGAGCAAGUAUUUAGAAAUGUUUGCAGCAAUCUGACAGAGUUAACUCAGUUAAAUACCAUAAUAAAAAACUGGGGCUUUUAUUUUGUAUGUCUGUUUUUUUCUUUUCAUUUUUCUGGUAAUCUAUUUAUUUAUUUAUUUAAGAGACAGAGUCUUGCUCUGUUGCCCAAGCUAGAGUGCAGUGGUGCGAUCUCAGCUCACUGCAACCUCUGCCACUUAGGUUCAUGCAAUUUUCCUGCCUCAGCCUCCUGAGUAGCUGGGAUUACAGGCACCCCCCACAAUGCCUAGCUAAUUUGUGUAUUUUAGUAGAGAAGGGGUUUCACCAUGUUGGCCAGGCUGGUCUUGAACUCCUGACCUCAGGUGAUCUGCUCACCUGGGCCUCCCAUAGUGCUGGGAUUACAGGUGUGAGCCACUGUGCCUGGCCCGCAUUUUAUUUAUUUAUUUAGAGACAGGAUCUCACUCUGUCACCAAGCUGGAGUGCAGUGGCACAAUCAUGGCUCACUAAAGCCAUGAGGCAGGGUCUCACUAUGUUGCCCAGGCUGGUUUCGAACUCCUGUCUUUCCACAGUGCUGGGAUUACAGGUGUGAGCCACUUCACCUGGCCCAUUAUUAUUGCAUUUUAGAGAAGCACUGUUCAACAACAGUUUGUAGGGGAAAAGGCCCUUGAUGGUUUGGGAUGCAGUGCAUCAGUAUCAAUCUUCUAAAGUCUAACAGGGACUGAGUGAUGCUAUAGUCUUUCGACUCUUUAACAUACGAAAUAAUUUCUGAUAAAUUGUGAGCAUGAAGUAAAAGGGAUUCCCACAUGUUCCGUAACAAACAGAAAAUUUCUUAAAUUACAAAUUCUCUGCUAAAGGGCAUUUUCUAAAGGCCAUCGUAUUCUCUUUACAUUAUGCAUAGGACUUCCUCACUAAUAUGAUUUCUCUGAUGUAAAGUAAGUUGAUCACUACGAAUAAAGGCUUUUCCACAUUCUUUACAUUGAUAGGGUUUUUCACCAGUAUGAAUUCUGUGAUGUCGAGUAAGUUCUGAAUUAACACUGAAGGCUUUCCCACAUUCUUUACAUUUAUAGGGUUUCUCACCCGUGUGAACUAUGUGAUGUCGAGUAAGUUCUGCUUGAAGACGAAAGGCAUUCCCACAUUCUUUACAGCUAUAAGGUUUCUCACCAGUAUGAAGUCUAAAAUGUUGAGUAAGAUGAUACCGACGACUAAAGGUCUUUCCACAUUCCUUACAUUCAUAUGGAAGCUCACCAGUGUGAAUUCUUUGAUGUAAUGUAAGUCGAUAACUGCAAAUAAAAGCAUUCCCACAUUCAUUACAUAUGUAGGGCUUCUCACCAGUAUGGCCUCUGUGAUGUUGAGUAAGAUGAUAGUGCCGACUAAACGUCUUCCCACAUUCCGUACAUUCGUAGGGUUUCUCACCAGUAUGAAUUCUGUGAUGUUGCGUGAGAUGAGUGCUACGAAUAAAGGCCUUCCCACAUUCCUUACAUUCAUAGGGAAUCUCACCGGUGUGAGUUCUCAGAUGUAAAGUAAGUUGAUAACCACAAAUAAAGGCCUUCCCACAUUCCUUACAUUCAUAGGGUUUCUCACCAGUAUGAGUUCUAUGAUGCCGAGUAAGUUCCGUUUGAAGACGAAAGGCUUUUCCACAUUCUCUACAUUCAUAGGGUUUCUCACCAGUAUGAAUUCUACGAUGUCGAGCAAGUUCUGCAUGAAAACUAAAGGACUUACCACAUUCUUUACAUUCGUAGGGUUUUUCACCAGUAUGAAUUUUCUGAUGUUGAACAAGGUAUGAGCCAUGACUAAAGGCCUUCCCACAUUCAUUACAUUUAUAGGGUUUGACACCAGUAUGAAUUUUCUGAUGUUGACUAAUAUGUCGUUGUACCCUAAAGGUCUUGCCACAAACCUUACAUUCAUAAGGCCUCUCACCAGUAUGAAUUCUUUGAUGUUCAGUUAGUUGAUAAUGAAGUCUAAAGGCCUUCCCACAUUCUUUACAUUCAUAAGGUCUCUCUCCAGCAUGAAUUGUCUGAUGUACUCUAAGGUCUCUAACACGACUAAAGGCUUUCCCACAUUCCUUACACUCGUAGGGUUUCACACCAGAAUGUAUUCUCUGAUGUUCAGUAAGGUGAUAAUGAAGUCUAAAGGCCUUCCCACAUUCUUUACAUUCAUAGGGUCUCUCCCCAGCAUGGAUUGUGUGAUGUACUCUAAGGUCUCCCACUCGACAAAAGGCCUUUCCACAUUCCAUACAUUUAUAGGGUCUCUCACCAGUGUGAAUUCUCAGAUGUUGAAUAAGGUAUGACUGUUGUCUAAAGGCCUUUCUACAUUCCUUACAUUCAUAUGAUUUCUCUCUAGCAUGAAUUUUUGGAUGUAGAGGAUGAGAUAUUUGUUUUUGGAUUAGCAUUUGACUAACGCAUCCCAUCUGAUGUCUCUCUUGUCUCUCAAA
rnacentral:lncRNA from 1 species